AGCGAACGUCAGCGGCGGGCCUAACACAUGCAAGUCGAGCGAGAAAGGGGCUUCGGCCCUGAGUAAAGCGGCGGACGGGUGAGCAACACGUAGGUAAUCUUCCCUUGAGCGGGGGACAACGAGCCGAAAGGCUCGCUAAUACCGCAUAAGUUUGGAGGGACUCUGGUCUCUCCAAGGAAAGCUAGGUAGCAAUAUCCGGCACUCGAGGAGGAGCCUGCGUCGCAUCAGCUAGUUGGUGGGGUAACGGCCUACCAAGGCGAAGACGCGUAGCUGGUCUGAGAGGAUGAUCAGCCACACUGGGACUGAGACACGGCCCAGACUCCUACGGGAGGCAGCAGUGGGGAAUAUUGGACAAUGGGCGCAAGCCUGAUCCAGCCACGCCGCGUGAGUGAUGAAGGCCUUCGGGUCGUAAAGCUCUGUGGGGAGGGACGAACCGCUGUCGGUUAAUACCCGGCAGCAUGACGGUACCUCCUUAGCAAGCACCGGCUAACUUCGUGCCAGCCGCCGCCGUAAAAC
rnacentral:rRNA from 1 species